rnacentral:rRNA from 1 species
UUGGAGGGCAAGUCUGGUGCCAGCAGCCGCGGUAAUUCCAGCUCCAAUAGCGUAUAUUAAAGUUGUUGCAGUUAAAAAGCUCGUAGUUGAAUUUCGGGAUCAGUAUGUUGGUCGUGCUUCGGUACGUACUGUCAUUACUGGUUUCUACCUUCUGAAGAACCUUGAUGUCAUUAAUUUGGUGUCUUGGGGAAUCAGGACUGUUACUUUGAAAAAAUUAGAGUGUUUAAAGCAAGCAUACGCUUGAAUACAUUAGCAUGGAAUAGUGAAAUAGGACGUUUGAUUCUAUUUUGUUGGUUUCUAGGAUCGACGUAAUGAUUAAUAGGGAUAGUUGGGGGCAUUAGUAUUCAAUUGUCAGAGGUGAAAUUCUUGGAUUUAUUGAAGACUAACUACUGCGAAAGCAUUUGCCAAGGAUGUUUUCAUUAAUCAAGAACGAAAGUUAGGGGAUCGGAGACGAUCAGAUACCGUCGUAGUCUUAACCAUAAACUAUGCCGACUAGGGAUCGGAUGAUGUUAUUUUUAAUGACUCAUUCGGCGCCUUACGGGAAACCAAAGUGUUUGGGUUC